ACCACUUUUACCCAAAGGACUCUCAGAUCAUGUUCCGGAAAUGAAUUUUCAAUUACCUGCUUUAUAUAUCCACCUGAAUAUCCUGCAGGCAUACCAACACAACAUGUCCAAAACCAAACUCAUGGUGGCAUUCCUCAAGGCUGCUCAUCAUUCUGGACCCCCUAUUUCGGUUACUAGCAUUACUGACCACCUAGUCAUUACUGUAUGAAGCUUCAGAUGACCUUUGGUUCUUCCUUCUCUAGUGUCUCUUCUCAUCUGAUCAAUUGGCAAGUCCCACAGACAGUCCUUUCGCAAUAUUUAUCAUAUCUAUGCCUCCCAUCCAUUCCCACUGCUACCACCCUGGCUCAGGUCUUAUUUCCUCACUUGUUAUCUCAGCUGCCAAAAUGUUCUCCUAAUUAGUCUUCCUAUCUCCAAUGCUCUCCUUGUUCCAGCCAUCCUAUAUUUUGCCUUGCCCCAGGCCAGUCUUCCUAAUGAAUAAUAUACAUGUUAGGAUUAAGUUCCACUUUUCCAGUAGGAAAAAAGGAAGGAGCAAUGUCUUCUCCCUUUAAGAACAUUUCCUAGAAGUUGUUCAUGCUAUGUGCUUUGUAUUUCAUUAACCAGAAUUUACAACAUGACUUUACCUAGCUGCAAGAGAAGUUAAGAAAUGUCGUCUUUAUUUUGCACAGGCAUUUUUAACUGGGGAGUUAAAAAUUGGUGCUUCUGAUGAGUAAGUUGUGGGAAUAAAAGGGACAGUGUAGAGAAUAUAGUCAAUGUUAUUGUAAUAGCAUUGUAUGGUGACAGAUGGCAGCUACACUUGGGGUGAGCACAGCUUGACAUAUAGACUUGCUGAAUCACUAUGUUGUACACUUGAAACUAAUGUGACACUGUGUGUCUACUGUACUUCAAUAAAUAAAUUAAUUUAAAAAAUUUUUUUAAAAGACUGGUGCUUCGGUUACUAAAGAAGCAGGAAGGGAUGGAUUCUAGGGCAACUCCUCCAUUCCACUUCUUGUUCAAAAGCUUUCAGUGGCUCCCACUAAAUUAAGAAUGUGCUCUUCAUCCUGGCAUUGAAGACCUACAGGAUCUGACAUUGGCUCUCUCUGCCAGGCUUGUACCUUGUAGGCAUGCUACAAACACAGGGUUGUGUGCUGCUUCUACAUUUUUCUCGCCUCUGCACAUAGCCCCAGUUCACUUCUCUCCCAAAGCCUUUCUGCAGCCCCCUUGCUCCCACUGUGCUGCCCACACUUUUGUGCACCCCAGAGCUGUGUUAACAGUUAACCCUCCAUUGGGAGUGAGGAAAGCCCUGCCUUAAGGAACGCCCUGCCUUGCUGGCACUUUCCCUGGACAUAAGUGUGGUGCCCAGUGGGAGAGCAGUGUUGGGAGUACCUUAUGCCGUGCCUCAUGUUUGAACUAGAAACCCCUCCCUUUAAGUAGGAGCUGGUGUCUGGCUUCUUUUGGGGAAUGGAUGCCCUGGAGCUGCUCUGCCUCCAUGGGAGGCAAACCAAGAAACAGGUUAUCAACUCCUAGCCUCCCCAACAGUUGCUAAAGGGUUUAACUUUCUGCUUUCUUUUUCUUUCCCUUUUUUCCCUUAAUUCCUCCCCUUCUGCGCUUCCAUUACAUUUCUUUCGUCUUUUCAUAACUUUACAUGUCUCCUCCCUGUCAGUAUUUAGUACAAAAAAAUCAUUGAUUCUUAUAUUUAGACACGUCCCCCUACAACACUUACAUGUGUUUUCUCUGGAUUUUAGAUGUGUAAGUACCACAUUACAAAAUACGUUCCAAGUGGUGCAGUCUGAUACCACUCGCCAUCACCACCACCACCAUCAUUUGGUGCUUGAAACUCUCAAUAGGCUGGAGGACUGCUCGGAUACACAUGACCAAUGAUGCUUAUACUCAGUGUCCACAACUACAGUGAACCUAGGCUUAGAUGUACUUCCUGGCUACUGACCUGAACCACAGCAGAUUUUCCUCCUACUUAAGAAAGAAUCUUGGCCUGCAAGGUCCUCCAACUCAGUCUGGACUCAACCAUAUGAUUUUCUUUAGCCAAUGGGUAUACCUGACCCAAGGCAAGCAAAGUUUGAAAUAGGCUUACACAUUAGGCUUUUCUCUUGUGCCAUUGUCAUCAGAACAUGCCUGGGGGGAAGAGAGACACACGGAGCACAGCUGAGUCCUCAGUCAUCAUAGCAGAGUUCAUCCUCGAUCAACUACCAGCCAGACUACCCCAAACGUGGAAGCGGAACCAGCCAGUCAGUUGAGCUGUCUAGCCGCUCCCUACCACCACUCCGAGAAAUACGAGCAAUAAAAACCACUGUUGUGUGCCAUGAAAGUUUUGUGGUUCUUUGUUACAGUGUUAGUCCAAAUCUACUAAGCAGCAGAUGCUGAGAUGGAAGAAAACAUACAAGGAUUUUAUGCAGGAGUAGCAAUGUGAGAGAAAAAAGUGUGGAGGGAACUGCGCCCCAGGACAGCUGUCAGAAGACAACGCAAGUCUGACCCAGAUGAAGGAAGGAGAGAAGGAAAGUUGGGUAGACGAGUCUGCCAUGCAGUCUAAGGGAAAUUCAGCCUCAGCUAUGGUGGCCACCAUGUGCAGCCUGCAAACAUUGGAUUAUUUCAUUAUAUUCCCUGUGUGAUCAU